GUUGACAGACCAACGUUGUUUGUUCGGAUCAUGUCAAUUUAAUGUUAAUUGUGAUCAGUCGGCUGGGUUCGACGUUACGCGACCAAUCUUCGUAUGUAAGUCCGCCAUCUGCCUCGGAAUCAACUUCUCUGACAGUACAU